UUUUUAAUGAACAUAAAAAGUAGAAAUCGAAAACAUUCAUUGGAUACGUAUGAUUUGCGGACACCAGAGAAAAGAGCGCAUUUUUAAAAUACCGCGUCUACAGCGGACAACGAUGGCAUCGGUCAUCCACCAUUCAACAUUAUUUCCGCGAUCCGCGAAGACGACCCUCCCUGCCGAAGGGCUUUUUUUUUAUCGCGGAUCAGGGUGGAUCGCAGUGGAACGCACUGGAUCGGAAUCCUGAGCGAUCCGGACCGAUCCCAAGCGUUCCAAGUGUUAAAAAAAUUCAAACUGGCUGUGUUUCAAAAUAGGUUAUGUUGAUCUGUUUUUGUUUUGAUUUGCUAGUUUGUACACCGUUCGUACUGAUUUUAAAAAUGCAAGAAGAAUUACUUUUAUUAAUGUUACUCGAAAGACGUUUGAAAAGUGUAGGAAGGACGAUUACUAUGAACCUUAAUGCAAUGGAUGCCAGGAAGAAAAGGAGGAGGCAAGUCUGCUUGUCCAUGUUAAAAACAUACAAUGCGCACAUCAGACUGGAAAAUUAUGGAGAAUACUGGAUAGAUAGAUACUUGGAUGAGGAUUUUUACUCACUCUUCAGGAUGACUCGUACAACUUUUGAAACGCUGGAAAGAGUUUUAAUUCAAGAUGGGAGACUGAAUGUAAAUAGAGUACAUGGUAAAGAGCCUUUGAGCAGUCGUAAAAUGCUACAAUGUGGCUUGUACUAUUUUUCAUCACAACAGACGAUACGGCAAAUAGGAGACAAAUUUAACCUUCCAGAUUCCAGCGUGCUGAUCUCAAUUCGCAGGUGUUGUCGUGCUCUUCUCAGAAUCAUGCCAGAGAUUAUUAAGUGGCCCAAUAAACGGACGUCCAACAGAUAUCAGAAGAUUUCAAGAAUAUUGCUGGUUUUCCAAGUAAGUGUAUUUAAAAUUGCAAUUUCACUUCGGUAAUGUCCCUCUGGAAGUAUUUUUUCUUAAGAUAAUACCCACAAAUCAAUUCAAUAUCCAUUUUCAUACUGUCUCUGCUUGUUUCUCAGCUGCUGCCUACAUUUAGCUUUCAAACCAAGUAUACUUAAAGCUGGAGUAGAAUCAUGAUUUCAAGAAAUUAUUCUGGUUGCACUGAAUUGGAGUUCAAUUAUUUUGCCUCAAUGUCAGUGGUAGUGAUUGCACCCUUGAACCGUGGAUUAGAUGCUCUCCAAUUGUUAUGCAUUGUUUGGAAAACUUUGAGUAAGAAAAGUGGUGGUAUGUAAAGUUAACAGAAAUUAAAAGGUAAGCUGGGAACAUGCCUUUUGUCCAAUGCCAACCAGAAUAACGGUACUACUUGUGACUCUCUUGUGUAAUUUCCUGUGAAAUGGUUUUUUGUUCCAGAUGUAAUAGGAGUAAUUGAUGGGUCACACAUUCCGUGCAAAGUACGCACAAAUAUAGCCAAUGAAUAUUUAAAUAGAAAAAUGAGGCACAGCAUUGUACUGCAAGCUACUUGCACCAGACAAAAAGUUUUCACCGACAUAUGUGUAGGUGUACCCGGUAGAUGUCAUGAUGCCCGUGUCUUCAGUCUGUCUGCCAUUGGGCAGGAAAUUGCAGACAAUGGACCAUUAUCCCUCUUCUACGAAGAAAAGUACCAUAUACUAGGUGAUCCUGCCUAUGCUAAUCGCACCUACUGCAUGGUUAGGUUUAAAAAGAGGGCAAACCAACCUGCAGUUGAAAAAAAGUACAAUGUUACUCACAGCCGAACAAGGUAACUAUAAUUCAUUUCUUUGGGUAGAAUAUUAUAAUUUUAAAGUUACCCCUAACUGAGGGUGUAUGUGAGAGGGGUCAGAGGAUGUAAUGCGACUGGAUGUUGCAGCGGAAUUUUCUGAUAAUAACCCCAGGCCUAUGUAGCAUUUGCGUAAAAUUAGGGGUAUCAAAGAGGCUGAUAAAAAUUAAGUGUUUCCGAAUAGCAGGCACAGCUAGCACUAUCUCAUAAUUCUCUUUAAGUAUACUUUCGAUUUUUAACUGCUCUUUGGUUGUGCAUCUGAAAACAGAAUUUGCCGUAAGAAAAUAUAAUUAAAUAAAUCUCUUAUUUCCCUUUUGUUUCAGAGUUGUGGUUGAACACGCAUUUGGAUUGUUGAAAGGAAGGUGGAGACGAUUAGAGUAUGUAAAUGCAUACUCUGUUGACACAGUAAAUGACAUUGUGUGCGCAUGUUGUGUUCUUCAUAAUUUUGCUUAUUUGAACAAGAUUUUUACGAUUACGUUUAUCAGCAAGAAAAUGAUGACAAUGAACUGAGUUUAAUGACAUAUUAGUGAAUGAGGUGCAAGCAAGAAUUCUUGGAGCAGCAAAAAGGAAUCUUAUUGCAGCUGCUUUACCUUGAAUCGUAAACUUUUUAAUAAGUCAUUUCUGUGUUGUAGAAGAUCUUCUCCUACUACUGACUGAUGGCCACCAAGUUAUUACAAUAAAUCAAGUAACGUACGAAAUGCUAGUUGUACCUUAUGUCUUUAAGUGUAAUAUUGUGCCUAAUUUUUUCCAAUCUGUCUACGCACUUGUAUCGGCUGUGAACCCUAAAAUAUACACCUUCGUAAAUUGUACAUUUUAAACUGGUUUUAUGACUUUCCUGAUUGA
rnacentral:lncRNA from 1 species